rnacentral:rRNA from 1 species
GAUGAACGCUGGCGGCGUGCUUAACACAUGCAAGUCGAACGAAGCACUUUAUUUGAUUUCCUUCGGGACUGAUUAUUUUGUGACUGAGUGGCGGACGGGUGAGUAACGCGUGGGUAACCUGCCUUGUACAGGGGGAUAACAGUUGGAAACGGCUGCUAAUACCGCAUAAGCGCACAGCAUCGCAUGAUGCAGUGUGAAAAACUCCGGUGGUAUAAGAUGGACCCGCGUUGGAUUAGCUAGUUGGUGAGGUAACGGCCCACCAAGGCGACGAUCCAUAGCCGACCUGAGAGGGUGACCGGCCACAUUGGGACUGAGACACGGCCCAAACUCCUACGGGAGGCAGCAGUGGGGAAUAUUGCACAAUGGGCGAAAGCCUGAUGCAGCGACGCCGCGUGAGCGAAGAAGUAUUUCGGUAUGUAAAGCUCUAUCAGCAGGGAAGAUAAUGACGGUACCUGACUAAGAAGCACCGG